GACGUAGGGCGCGAGCGUUGUCCGGAUUUAUUGGGCGUAAAGAGCUCGUAGGCGGCUUGUUGCGUCAGCUGUGAAAACCCGCAGCUCAACUGUGGGCUUGCAGCUGAUACGGGCAGGCUUGAGUUCGGUAGGGGAGACUGGAAUUCCUGGUGUAGCGGUGAAAUGCGCAGAUAUCAGGAAGAACGACCAGCGGCGGAAGGCGGGCCUCGCUGGGACCGGAAGUGACCGAGCGUAGGGAGGCGAAAGCGG
rnacentral:rRNA from 1 species